CACGUAGGGGGCGAGCGUUGUCCGGAUUUAUUGGGCGUAAAGAGCUCGUAGGCGGUUUGUCACGUCGACUGUGAAAGCCCGGGGCUCAACUCCGGGUCUGCAGUCGAUACGGGCAGACUAGAGUUCGGUAGGGGAGACUGGAAUUCCUGGUGUAGCGGUGAAAUGCGCAGAUAUCAGGAAGAACACCCGUGGCGAAGGCGGCUCUCUGGGACGGUACUGACGCUGAGACGCGAAAGCGUGGGGAGCGAACAGG
rnacentral:rRNA from 1 species